rnacentral:tRNA from 1 species
UGAGCUGUAGCUCAGUGGCAGAGCACUUGCCUAGCAUGUGUGAGGGACUAGGUUCAAUCCUUAGCACCACAU